rnacentral:lncRNA from 1 species
GAACAUCAAAUUCUCGUAAGUCAAAAUUCUUCCAAAAUCAAUACUAAAUCAUUCUUUCAUUUCUCUAGUGCACGAGAUGAAUAGAGAUAACUUUAUUUUGUAAACUAUCAUUGAUCGAUACGCUUGGUUUGAACAUGCAAAUCACAUCGAAGAUUUCAAAAUAUCUUCAAAGGGAUUCGUCGGUAUACCCUUUUGCAUCCGGCUGGCAUAACUAGUGAUAGAGAAUUGAAAUUAAAGAUUGGUAUGCCUCACACACGCUUUGAAGCACUAUUCAUCGUGUUUUCCAUCAUCAUUUUCUUGAUCAAGUUAGACAUAUAUUUGGUAACCUUACUUGUUUAUGCCCUCGUUUUGAUGUUUUGU